AGGUGUAGCGGUGAAAUGCGUAGAGAUCUGGAGGAAUACCGGUGGCGAAGGCGGCCCCCUGGACGAAGACUGACGCUCAGGUGCGAAAGCGUGGGGAGCAAAACAGGAUUAGAUACCCUGGUAGUCCACGCCGUAAACGAUGUCGACUUGGAGGUUGUGCCCUUGAGGCGUGGCUUCCGGAGCUAACGCGUUAAGUCGACCGCCUGGGGAGUACGGCCGCAAGGUUAAAACUCAAAUGAAUUGACGGGGGCCCGCACAAGCGGUGGAGCAUGUGGUUUAAUUCGAUGCAACGCGAAGAACCUUACCUGGUCUUGACAUCCACGGAAGUUUUCAGAGAUGAGAAUGUGCCUUCGGGAACCGUGAGACAGGUGCUGCAUGGCUGUCGUCAGCUCGUGUUGUGAAAUGUUGGGUUAAGUCCCGCAACGAGCGCAACCCUUAUCCUUUGUUGCCAGCGGUCCGGCCGGGAACUCAAAGGAGACUGCCAGUGAUAAACUGGAGGAAGGUGGGGAUGACGUCAAGUCAUCAUGGCCCUUACGACCAGGGAUACACACGU
rnacentral:rRNA from 1 species